AUUGAACGCUGGCGGCAUGCCUUACACAUGCAAGUCGAACGGUAACAGGUCUUCGGAUGCUGACGAGUGGCGAACGGGUGAGUAAUACAUCGGAACGUGCCUAGUAGUGGGGGAUAACUACUCGAAAGAGUGGCUAAUACCGCAUGAGAUCUACGGAUGAAAGCAGGGGAUCGCAAGACCUUGUGCUACUAGAGCGGCCGAUGGCAGAUUAGGUAUUUGGUGGGAUAAAAGCUUACCAAGCCGACGAUCUGUAGCUGGUCUGAGAGGACGAUCAGCCACACUGGGACUGGGAAACGGCCCAGACUCCUACGGGAGGCAGCAGUGGGGAAUUUUGGACAAUGGGCGCAAGCCUGAUCCAGCAAUGCCGCGUGCAGGAUGAAGGCCUUCGGGUUGUAAACUGCUUUUGUACGGAACGAAAAGCCCCGGGUUAAUACCCUGGGGUCAUGACGGUACCGUAAGAAUAAGCACCGGCUAACUACGUGCCAGCCGCCGCGGUAA
rnacentral:rRNA from 1 species